rnacentral:lncRNA from 1 species
UAUAAAUUCGAAGGCAAAGUAUAAAACACGUGUGAAAUCACCAAUUCGCCAUCACAAACCGGCACGUGGCAAUCAAACAAGACGAGUGGUUAUGAUCGUACUUGGUACUCUCAUGUAUCUUACAGGCGUUUAAUCAUGUAAUCUUCCCUCUAUCAUUGUGCCUCGUAACAGUUGUUGACUGUGCCGUAAAUAGACAUUUCCAAUAAAACGACACCGACCCGUCAAUUUCUUUUGUCCCAAUUUUCUUAAAUGGCGAUAUAAUU